CGCGUAGGCGGCAUAUUAAGUCAGCUGUGAAAUCUCCGAGCUUAACUCGGAACUGUCAGCUGAUACUGAUGUGCUAGAGUGCAGAAGGGGCAAUCGGAAUUCUUGGUGUAGCGGUGAAAUGCGUAGAUAUCAAGAGGAACACCUGAGGUGAAGACGGGUUGCUAGGCUGACACUGACGCUGAGUGCGCGAAAGCCAGGGGAGCAAACG
rnacentral:rRNA from 1 species